rnacentral:rRNA from 1 species
CCUACGUGAGGCAGCAGUGAGGAAUAUUGGUCAAUGGGCGCGAGCCUGAACCAGCCAAGUAGCGUGAAGGAUGACUGCCCUACGGGUUGUAAACUUCUUUUAUAAAGGAAUAAAGUGAGGCACGUGUGCCUUUUUGUAUGUACUUUAUGAAUAAGGAUCGGCUAACUCCGGGCCAGCAGCCGCGGUAAUACGGAGGAGCAGAGAGUUAUCCGGAUUUAUUGGGUUUAAAGUGAGCGUAGAUGGGUUGUUAAGUCAGUUGUGAAAGUUUGCGGCUCAACCGUAAAAUUGCAAUUGAUACUGGCAGUCUUGAGUACAGUUGAGGUAGGCGGAAUUCGUGGUGUAGCGGUGAAAUGCUUAGAUAUCACGAAGAACUCCGAUUGCGAAGGCAGCUUACUAAACUGCCACUGACAUUGAUGCUCGAAAGUGUGGGUAUCAAACAGGAUUAGAUACCCCUGUAGUC